CGGGUUAAUAUUUAAAUUCCCUGUUGUUGUUAUUAUUAUGAAGCUAGUAAAGGAAGCUGUCGUUUUAAUCUUUCUGAAAGUUUGUUCAUCUAAUGUUGGUAAGUUAAUCUGUAAGAACACAAUUUAACCUUCUCUUCUCCUCAUAUAAUUGUACAUCAUUUUCAUAGUACAACUAAAGUAUCAUCACAUGAACAGAAGAAUGAAAUUAACAUAUCGGAAAGGAACGUCAACAAAUUACUGCAUACAAUCAACCAAAAUAAGACCACAGUAUCUGAUUAUUUAUUUGGAGAUAAAAGAUCACCUAGUUAUCACACUGAUUAUUCAAAUAUCUCACAUAUAACAUACCUGGAAACAUGCAAACGUCUGUCCUAUGUUCAAAAAGGACGCAAAUACCGUGCCAUAGAUUACAGACCUAUGUCACAAAUGUAUAAUUUUUUUGAAUUAUGGGACUUAAAAUAAAUUAAUUAUUACCAUGGAUAGUCAAAUGAUAAAACACCUUGAUAGAACUCGAAUAAAUCAUAUGAUCUACAACAAUGAUUUCGAUCUUAACACUCUUGCUGUACACAAUUAAUAUCGUGCAUACAGGACAUGCCAAAAACAUUAUUAUCAGCAUACAAACUGGUGUCAUUGUGAUGGACUUUGCUAAAGAUUCUGGACAGGUCCCCCCAAAAUGUCUAUUGUUCUAAUCAAAGUACUGUGUAAAAAGUAAAAUAAAAAAUACUCCAAGGAAAAUUCAAAAUGGAAAGUCCCUUAUCCAAUGGCUAAAUAACAAUCACAAAAAUAUCAAAAGAAUAGAAGCCUUUGUCAUAUUCCUAACUUGAACAGGUAUGUACUACAAAAAUUUAGACACAGCAUAGUAUUUAUAAUUAUAAUCACUAUAAAAACAAACAACUAUGUUAACAAAUACAACACAUAAUGGUGUAUAGUGCAAUUAGGCGAUAUUUAGGGUAGAUUGUUAUUGGGUUGUAAGUAUUCCCGGAAAUCGUUUAGACCGUUUGUUUUUCCGUUUGAAUGGUUUUACACUAGUAAUUUUUGGGGCCCUUUAUAGCUAGCUGUUCGGUGUGAGUUAAGGCUCCAUGUUGAAGGCCGUACCUUGACCUAUAAUGGUUUACUUUUUUAAAUUGUUAUUUGGAUGGAGAGUUGUCUUGUUGGCACUCAUACCACAUCUUCCUAGAUCUAUGUAAAAAUUAGGAAUAUAGUUGAGUAACGUCGUAUUAUACAUGGUAUCUCAAUUUCGUUGGUAUGAUAAAUCAAAUAGUUUAUCAUAUUCAUUAUUACAUAAAUAGGUGAAGGGAGCGAACCUAGUUUCUCCCUUCUAUUUGACAUACAUGUAUUUGAUAUUUUAUGUAAACAUUUAGCAUGCUUUGGGUGUGUGUUUAAAUUGAAUUAGUUAAAUGUUUGGUCAAAACAGGUUUGCAAAUGAUUUGAAUAUCUAUUAAAGAAGAAGGAAAUAAGUUUAUCCAGAUGCUUUUCUCUUUUAUUUGUUUUAAGGAGGUGUGUCCUGUUUUCGUUUAUUUUUUCACAGAUUUGUGUGUUUCCAUAAUAAAAAAUUUUAUGUCAAAAAACUUUGUUCCAACACAUUUACAUUUAAAUUCAUAAGUUUGGCACAGACGUACAACGGAAUGAAAUGUAUGCUUACAAUUUACAAAGCUUGAAUACAGAGGCGUUCAUCUUUUUUUCGUUAAAGUGUGAAUUGGAGUGAUAAGGCUUCGACCUUAACUCGAUGUCGGAAAUGACACACCAACGGUUUUAUUUUUGAAAUCAAAAGAGUAUUUUUCGGUAAAUGAUAUUUGUUUUUUAAUUAUUAAUUUAACAGCUUUGUGACGUGUAUAAGAGAACAAACGUAUGUAUAACUUUUCAUUCUUUGUGUACAACUACUUCGAAAUCUGUUGAAUUAACAAAUCUGAAAAGAUUUUGAUAACAUGAGACAGGAUAUAAAUAUGGCAUAUGAGCCACCCUCCAUGGUAACAUGUGUCCUCGAUUCAUAAUUUUUCAAUCUUAACAUCUCUGUCUUACAGGAACAGCUCUUAUUGGAUCGCCAACUAAUCUUCAAUGUCCAUUAAGUUUGAUAGCAUAUUAUUGGUAUAAGAAAUUUAUUGGUGGUACUUAAUUGUUAAAAGAUGGCGACAAAUAUUACGGGACAUCAAAUAAAACUCUAAUAAUAAAAAACUUUGAGCUGGCAGAUGAAGGUUUUUAUAGAUGUGAAGGAUUUACCACUAGAGGUUCAUAUUCCAUGAGUCAUUUGAUACAGUUGUUUGUAGCAG
rnacentral:lncRNA from 1 species